CAUGUAGGCUGCUUGUUAAGUCUGAUGUGAAAGCCCCGGGCUCAACCUGGGAAGUGCAUUGGAUACUGGCAAGCUUGAGUAUGGGAGAGGAAAGUGGAAUUCCGAGUGUAGGGGUGAAAUCCGUAGAUAUUCGGAGGAACACCAGUGGCGAAGGCGGCUUUCUGGACCAAUACUGACGCUGAUAUGCGAAAGCGGUGGGGAGCAAACA
rnacentral:rRNA from 1 species